rnacentral:rRNA from 1 species
UACGUAGGGUGCAAGCGUUGUCCGGAAUUAUUGGGCGUAAAGAGCUUGUAGGCGGUUUUGUCGCGUCUGCUGUGAAAUUUCGGGGCUCAACCCCCGAACUUGCAGUGGGUACGGGCAGACUAGAGUGUGGUAGGGGAGACUGGAAUUCCUGGUGUAGCGGUGAAAUGCGCAGAUAUCAGGAGGAACACCAAUGGCGAAGGCAGCACUCUGGGACGUGACUGACGCUGAGACGCGAAAGCGUGGGAGCAAACAGG